AACGAACGCUGGCGGCAUGCCUAACACAUGCAAGUCGAACGAGACCUUCGGGUCUAGUGGCGCACGGGUGCGUAACGCGUGGGAACCUGCCCUUAGGUUCGGAAUAACUCCCCGAAAGGGGUGCUAAUACCGGAUAAUGUCUUCGGACCAAAGAUUUAUCGCCUUUGGAUGGGCCCGCGUUGGAUUAGCUAGUUGGUAGGGUAAAAGCCUACCAAGGCGACGAUCCAUAGCUGGUCUGAGAGGAUGAUCAGCCACACUGGGACUGAGACACGGCGCAGACUACUACGGGAGGCAGCAGUGGGGAAUAUUGGAAAAUGGGCGAAAGCCUGAUCCAGCAAUGCCGCGUGAGUGAUGAAGGCCUUAGGGUUGUAAAGCUCUUUUACCCGGGAUGAUAAUGACAGUACCGGGAGAAUAAGCUCCGGCUAACUCCGUG
rnacentral:rRNA from 1 species